AUACGGAAGGUCCGGGCGUUAUCCGGAUUUAUUGGGUUUAAAGGGAGCGCAGGCGGCACUUCAAGCGUGACGUUAAAUUUCGGGGCUCACCCCCGUUGUGCGUCGCGAACUGUUGUGCUUGAGUAGGCGGCAGGGAGGCGGAAUUCGCGGUGUAGCGGUGAAAUGCUUAGAUAUCGCGAGGAACUCCGAUAGCGCAGGCAGCCUCCCGUUGCUUUACUGACGCUCAUGCUCGAAGGUGCGGGUAUCGAACAGGAUUAGAUACCCUGGUAGUCCGCACUGUAAACGAUGGAUGCCCGCUGUUGGGCCUUUUGGGUUCAGUGGCCAAGAGAAAUCGUUAAGCAUCCCACCUGGGGAGUACGCCGGCAACGGUGAAACUCAAAGGAAUUGACGGGG
rnacentral:rRNA from 1 species